AUGUUAUGAUUGGCGGAUGAGUAAGAAGAAAGACAAUCGAGGCGAAAUAAAUUAUUAUUGAUAAGGCUAAAUAAAAAAAGUAUUUAUUAUAUUGAAAUUAUUUACUAAUUUAGAACAUAUUCAUGUGUAAAUCUAAACAGCGACUACGCUCAACUGCGAAAGGUGUUAUUGCACUGCAUUCGUUAACCUAACAUAACGAUAUAAACAAUCAUUAUUUUUGAUGAUGGAAUGGAAGAAAUACGAUGUCCAGAAUUUUCGUGAUCAAUUUUAAUUAUCUAGAAUAAGAAAUGAUAUUGGAUACAUGACAUUUAAGAAGCAAUACUUGACAAAUAUCGUUAUUUAUUGUCGUUGUAUCCUUUACGAGAACGUUUAAUUAAUUUUAUUUUUAUUUGUACAGAACGUCAGCAUUAUGAUUUCAUUUAUUAUCGUUAAUAGGACAGUAGGGAGGGUAUACACUUAGAAAUAUGUAAGAUAGAUUUGAUGAUAUAAUUUACAUCUUCUCUUUAAAUUUGUACACCUAUUCUUUGAUGAAGCAAUAUUCUUCUACUGAAACUUCUUUUAGUGGCAAUCGAAUUAUAUUUUUCCUUCGGUUAUGCAUUUUUUAUUGAAUAUGUUGUAUAUAUAUAUCCAGUAGCUAAGGAUUCCAAAUUCAUUAUACUUUAAUAAGGUUAUUGUAACUUUAUUUUUUCAAUUUUGCAUUAAUGAAUUUAAUCUAAACGUAAGUUUAGUAACUGAUUUCAUUAAGAUAAGGAAGAUUAAUGUCUAAUGUAUAUUAUGCAGUUUGAAGUAACUUAGAAGCAAGCUUUUAUUUCAACAUUAGUACUUGAAAGUAUGACGGAAACCAGAUUUUUUAUGGUUACUAAUCAAAAUGGAUAAAUAUUUAUAAAGGUGAAAGAAAAAUGAUUUAUAUACUUUCAGUAGCUAACAACUUUAUGUUCUUUAUUUUGUUUUAGGACAAUUUUAUUUUAUAAUCGUGAUUUUAAAGAAUUUAGUCAUUCGAUUAGUGUUAUGAAUAUAGGAAUAUAUUGUUUAAUAUGACUUUCUUAUGGUACUACAAGGGAUUUAACAUUCUUUCCAUUUAGAAAUUAUAUAGCUGUUGCUUAUAAUGCAAUUAUAAUAAUUAUAUUCGAUCUUUCAGACCUUAAAAAAAUAAAUGAGGCAUUUACAGGAUCAAAUGAUAAAGUAAAUGAUACCGAAGAAAUAUCUUCAAAAACUGUUAACAAAGUUGUUGCGACAUUGAAAGGUCAUUGUAACAAAAUUGUUGGUUUAGGAUGGAGUCCAGAUUUAAGUGGAUACUUGGUUUGAAGUGGUUUAAGUGGUACUUGGUUGAAGUUACGAUAGUAUAGCACAGAUAUUUUGAUACAUUUCUUAUAUUUUAUUUGAUUGGAUAGAAAUAGUAAUAAUAUAAAGUGCUCUGUAUUUUAUAUUGAUUAUUUUUAUGUCAAGUAUGGAAUAUUGAAAGCAAGAAUUGAUAAUAACGUUUGUAGAUCAUUGUAGAUCUGUUUGUUGCCGUAUGUGGAAUCCUUUAGAUCCAGAUUUGAUAAUAACAGGAUCAAUAGAUUUUACAUUACAUUUGUGGAGAAUAUCAACUCAGUUUUACUGCCUAAAAAAACGUCUGAUUCAAAAAAAUUGAAAUUGAAAAGGAAUAAACAAAAAAUAAAUGAAGAUAAUAAUACAACUAAGAUGUUAAUGGUGUACUUCAGGAAUAGUUAGAAAAGUGAUGAAUAAAAUUUCAAAAUCUACAACAAUUAAAGCAGUUAUAUAUAAUUAGGAGCUAAUUCAGAAGCAGCCUCUUUAUUAGCACAUAGAAAAGAUGUAGAAAGUUUGACAAUUGCUAUUAAAUUAACAUCGGACUAUCAUUUGUUUCUUGAUCUUUGAAGAAUUCUCUUAACGGUAUAAAGCUGGUUGUAAAAGAGGCCUAUAAAAAUCAUUUGUCAAAGUUUUUUGUCCAAAAAACACAGAAGUUUUAUAAUGACAGGAUUAUGAUUUUAUCUUAAAAGUGAUCGAUCAAAACAGCACAUAUUAUUCGCUGUAAUAAACUUCGUUUGAAAUAUAAAUAAAACUUGAUUUAUUUUUGCAUUAAAA